AGAGUUUGAUCAUGGCUCAGGAUGGACGCUAGCUACAGGCUUAACACAUGCAAGUCGAGGGGAAACGACAUCGAAAGCUUGCUUUUGAUGGGCGUCGACCGGCGCACGGGUGAGUAGCGCGUAUCCAACCUGCCCACCACUUGGGGAUAACCUUGCGAAAGUAAGACUAAUACCCAAUGACGUCUCUAGAAGACAUCUGAAAGAGAUUAAAGAUUUAUCGGUGAUGGAUGGGGAUGCGUCUGAUUAGCUUGUUGGCGGGGUAACGGCCCACCAAGGCGACGAUCAGUAGGGGGUUCUGGAGAGGAAGGUCCCCCACAUUGGAACUGAGACACGGUCCAAACUCCUACGGGAGGCA
rnacentral:rRNA from 1 species